GAUGUUGUGGCUCAGUGGUAGAGCAUGUGCCUCACAUGCACAGGGCACUGGGUUCAAUCCUCAGCAUUAUACA
rnacentral:tRNA from 1 species